UUAAACACCACUGUAUGACAGUUCACAAUCAGCACAGGACACCCUGCUCUUGAGAACAGGCAUCAAAACAUCAGGUCAGGAGAUCAUCUUCUCAGAAUGGGUUGCAGUGGGAGUUUUACAGUGUGGGCUGUGUUUCUAUCAGUCAGAACCAGUACUGGCCCAUAACAAUUGUUUUAGAUACAGAACACGUCCCAGUUUGAAGCCCCUCAGGAAUUCUUCCAUGAACAUCUCUGGGCAAACAAUGAACAUCUCAUCCUUUCCUCUGCUCUAGAAGUUCACAAUGUCACUUCCUUGAUCCCUGAAAGACUCCAAGAACAAUUUACCGUUCUCUUGUUUUUUACAACAGUGAACUGCUUGUAUUCAGUGAAGUCCCUUCUCGUCACAGUUUUGAAGAAACGCAAUAUUUAAAAAAGUGAUCACUUUACUCUUCGCAAGUUGCUUUAUUGGAAACCUGUUACUAUUGAAAAUGUCAGAUACAAAAGAGGGCUUUAGCAUUGUAAAAAUGUCUAUUUGUGUUUGGUGUAUAUUGAACAUAAAACAAAACAUCACUGCCAAAAUUCAAGAAAUGUAUAAAGUACCUUAACGGGUAUGCUAAAGUUAUCCUUAAUCAGCAUGACAUAAGAAAAUUAAUUAUGCAGAGUAACAUUUGUCAACAGUAGUAGGGAGAAGCUCAGAACUACAAGUCUUAGUGACUAUUUCUGUUAUUUACAGAAGAGAGACACUGAGGGUUUCUGAACUAUAUUAUAUCAGUGUGACUUUAAACGCCUGUAUCAGUGCAGGAGUCUGUAUCCGUGUUACUGACUCUUUCUGUUUCUUACAGGGGAGAAGACGCAGUGGGAAUCUAAAUGUAAAACCUUAGUGCUUCUUAGACACCUGGGAGCCGGGGGGAACAUUCCUACUCAAGCUGAUGUGACACUGGACCCUGGUACAGCUCAUAUUGCACUCACCCUGUCCGAGGAUGGCAAGAGAGUGAGACUGGGAAAGGAGCAGGAUCUCUCUGACAACGCCCAGAGAUUUAAUUACUGGCUCUGUGUCGUGAGCAGGGAGGCCUUCUCCUCAGGGAGACACUACUGGGAGGUGGAGGUGAAUGACGACUGGUCAAUAGGAGUGAGCAGAGAGUCUGCAGAGAGGAAAGGGGGGUUCAGCUUUGAUCCCCAAGGGGGAUACUGGGCUCUGUAUUCCGGCUAUUCUGGUUUCUCUGCUCUCACUGACCCUGUGACCCGUCUCCCCCUCAGUCUGCAGCCCAGGACAGUGGGUGUGUGUGUGGAUAUUGAGGAGAGGAAGGUCUCCUUUUACGCAGUGGAGUCCAGGGUUCACAUCUUCACGUUCACUGACAUGGUCCUCAAUCAGGGGGAGAAGAUCUAUCCUGUCUUCAGGACCCGUGAUCGUUGUAAAGACCUUGUGCUGCUGCCUCCUGUCCGCUGUGGAGAUUAAACACGUCACUGACUCACGAAGACAAUUCAUGGACAUCUUUGUGGGAGUACCGAUGGAAUCACAGCUUUAUGAAUAUGGAGAGACUCUACCAUCAAGGGCAGUUUCCUGGGGGUGGGGGUGAUGGAUUGGGACAGGUUGGAAGAUGUCUAGCCAUGAAAGGCUCUGCCCUGGUUUGCCAACUGUACAUGUUAAUAAACAGGUAGAUCUGGUCAGUAGGGCAGUGGAAUGAGGCUACUCCAAUUCUUACUAAAGACCUGGGUAAGAAAGGUCAGCAUCGAAGGGCAAGGUUGUCUCCACUUUUCUAUCGGCCCACGAGCCCUGAGAAGCAGCUUGUGACCAGUACCAGGGUGAAUAAUUUCAGCUGGCUCUCCUGCAGCACUGUCCUACUCGGCCUGUUGUAUUGGAGCAGCUCAGGUCUCAAUCUGCCCUGGGUGCCAGCUUUUCUGCGGUGUUUGUGGCUCACCCUGAAUUGGUCUUGGGUCUUGGAGCUGAAAAAACAGGUUUGCAUUUUGUACAUGGUUGGGAGGGAAUAGUUUUCAUUCUGCGAGCCGAUUUAGUUUUUUCCUCUGCGAAAGAGUUUAACAGACAAGUUAGCAGUUAGCUGGGUACGGAUAGGGCACGUUCAGACUCGUGAGACGUGAAUAAUGAGUGUGCUCCAUUCCUCAUGUUUCUAAUAGGACCGUCUGGUUUUAUGAUAAAUAUUUUGUUAUGAUGUUGAUACGAUAAUUAUUUUGUUAAUAAAUUAUUUUUAUAAGGUUGGUACCACUAACAUAAAACUACUUUUGUGUUUUGAAUUUAGUUUUUUAUUCCUGAGAAACUUUUCAGGGUUUUAGACCGCUGUUAAUGAAAUGUGUUAAGUACCUUUGUUAAAGCGAUAUUCCUCAACUGGGUACUGCAGUCUCAAUUUCACAGACUGGUUAUUAAAUCUCGGUAAUAAAAUAAAUUA